GGCUAUUUUUGCAGUGAGAGUUGCAAGAAAGAAGUCACACGUGAAACCUGAAUGUUAGUCUAAUCUCAAAGGAGAAGAAUCAACCUCCUCUGUUUAAGGAUAAGAAGAGGUAUGAAAGCAGCAUAUCAAUGUCUGUCUGAAAUACAAUCCCUCCUAAGAAACAAGAAGUGAGCAGAGAAUAUGCAGGCAUCCUUGUUUCAAUAGAGGCCUGGUGAGGACCUGGGUGUUUGUUAGGUGGAGAUUGCACAAGCCAUGAGACUCUUGCAUGACAUGAAACAUCCCUUUGGAAUUGGAAUUUUCUGAGGACCCCCGACUCCAGGCGUGUGCCCCACAGCCCCCUCCCGCUCAGCACCAUGCGGCCAGCAAUAACUGGGCUCGUUAGG